rnacentral:lncRNA from 1 species
GUGUCAAGAUGCCAAUCACCUUCCAUGGGUCGUUCAUACCCUGAAGAAACGACUUGCACAGAGCUGUGUUUUUUUACAAUAUCGGCAAUGGAAAUACAUAAUAUUCAAUACACAUUUCAAAAAUAUAUAUUGAUGAUAACAUUCCCUUUAAUGUAAUAAUCAUUUGUUAUCCAUACCUGAUAAUUAAUAAUACGAAGCUGACAGUUUGCUAUCGUUGAUGGUAAACCUUCAGUGCCAUAUGUAUUGUGAUGUCAUGUCAUGUACCAUUAAUUCUGUUUGUAUUACAUGGGGUAUGUUGUACUGUUAGUGGUAUCAUUAAUAUGGUUGUGUAUAAUAUGGUUCUAUGAUCUUUAACCAGUUGUCAUUUUAUAAGAUUGUCUUGAAGUAAUAGUUUGUUCCCUAGGGUAGCAUAGUGGUUAAAAUGCUUGCUCAUCAUGGCAGACCUGGGUUCGAUUCCCCACAUAUGUGUCAAGCCUUCUGUGCCUUGUAUAAUUUACGCUGGUCCCAAACAAUGUACAGGUAUAUGCAAGAUAGAAAUUGCUAUCAUGUUUGAUAGUUCCAUUAUCUUUUACUGCAAAUUUGGUUAAACCUUGUUAAUGCCAAACAGUUUGUCCAGAACAGCGACUUCUUUACGAAUAUGGUUGAGAACAUCUGCAAUCCUCCAUACCAAUGUAUGUUGGUAAUCUUGGAAUUUGUGAGAUGGGUGAUUCUGCUCCAAACAUUGCCGUCCAGUUUAGCAAAGUUUCAUCAAGUUUCAUAAUUUGAGAAAACAGUUUUGUCGGUGGUUGCUGCUGAAAGAUUGUUUGACAUUUGACAAGAUGUUCAAUGUUGUGAUUUUUCAUCUUCUUCAUCUUUAUUUUGUCUGUGAAACACAUGGAGAUGCUAUUUCGGUAAGACUACAGAAUACCGGAUACCUUCCGCCAUCUUUGAAAGCACGCGAGUUUACUUAGGGUUAGGGUAAGGGUUAGCGUUUGGGUUCGGGUGAUGUGACACUAAACAAUAUGGCUGGUAGGUAUCCGGUAUUCUGUAGGUGUACCGGUAUUUCCAGCCAUAGUACCUGAUAAUUCAGGUAUAAUUAAACGUGUGGUAUAUGCUUGUAGUGCCUGUUUUUGAAACAUUUUGAUGAUAUUUGUGAUGAAUCUGGCGUGUUGAUUCUAUUUGGAUGUAUUUAAUGCCUGUUGCCAUUUUGUUCCAUUUGUAAGUGACCAAUUAUUUAACCUAAACUAUCUUUUUGUGUGACAUGUUGAAAAUGCAGGGAAAUCACCUAUCAUUGUGGUGAUUGUUUUACGCACAGUUGGCUAUAAUCAUUUUUCUUACCAACUUUAGCAUUCUAUAUAUUUUGACUUGUUAAAUGAUAUUUAUGACAAUCAUUUCUAUAUUUGUCUUUUUAGCACAUGAUAAAACAAGUUAAUGUUGUUCUGGUUUUAUACAGCUUUUUUUACAUCUAGUUUGUUCUGUUUGAUUCUUACCAAAUAUGUAUUUUUAUUGAAUAUGACUGAUUGGCGUACACCAUGAACAGUUACAAGUGUUAAAAGCACAGUUUCACACAUUUUCGACAAUAUUUUGGCCUAUAUUGUAUAUAUUUUGGGAUAUGCAUUCACUUUAGCUUCCUAUUAGUGCAAUAAAAGACAUAUUAUCCCUUA